CCCCCCCCCCGUUGCAAACGGUUAUAUCCUGAGAGACGGGAAGCGUGGAUUCGCGCAGUGGAGAGGCUGGGUAAAGACGGAAAGCGUUGGGAGCCGACGCAAUAUUCAACGCUAUGCGGUGCGCACUUCGACGCAGGCGAGCCCAGCUGCGACAGAAAUCGCGUCGAUUAUGUGCCGACAGUUUGCACCUAUCGAAAACAAAGCAGUAAAUCCGUUCUGGACAGAUACGAACGGCUCAGUUGGAGGUUGACGGUGAAAGGUCAAAGCACAACAAUACGUGACUAUCAAAAGAGUCAGCUCUACGGCGUGGAUGCGGAGUCAGUUAUAAAUAUCGAUAUAGUAUACAUGCGAUUGUGUCAGUGGGGGAAAGGAAAUCAACUAGCCAAGGCAUCAAGACACGUGAUAUCCUUCAAAGGGGCUGCUGGGGCAUGUUUCUUCGCUGUGAUAACAAGAUAAAUAGAAUAAGCUGAAAGUAGUGUUACUCAUCUUCACGAUGCUUUGUCACAUUAUUUAGUGUGAAAACCAUGUGGUCAGAUCAUCACCAAUUGCCAGUUUGUACUGUCAAUAUAGGGAACACAUGAUACCAUGCCAGCGUGGACAUGGUACAUGUCAAUAAACUAUUUUAUGUCAU